rnacentral:rRNA from 1 species
UACGUAGGUGGCAAGCGUUGUCCGGAUUUAUUGGGUUUAAAGGGUGCGUAGGCGGUGUCCUAAGUCAGUUGUGAAAUACGGCAGCUUAACUGUCGAGGUGCAAUUGAUACUGGGAUACUUGAGUACUGAUGAGGUAUGCGGAAUGGACGGUGUAGCGGUGAAAUGCUUAGAUAUCGUCCAGAACACCGAUAGCGAAGGCAGCAUACUAAGGAGUAACUGACGCUGAGGCACGAAAGUGUGGGGAUCAAAC